GAUGAACGCUGGCGGCGUGCCUAAUACAUGCAAGUCGAGCGAACAGACGAGGAGCUUGCUCCUCUGACGUUAGCGGCGGACGGGUGAGUAACACGUGGAUAACCUACCUAUAAGACUGGGAUAACUUCGGGAAACCGGAGCUAAUACCGGAUAAUAUAUUGAACCGCAUGGUUCAAUAGUGAAAGACGGUUUUGCUGUCACUUAUAGAUGGAUCCGCGCCGCAUUAGCUAGUUGGUAAGGUAACGGCUUACCAAGGCGACGAUGCGUGGCCGGCCUGAGAGGGUGAUCGGCCACACUGGAACUGAGACACGGUCCAGACUCCUACGGGAGGCAGCAGUAGGGAAUCUUCCGCAAUGGGCGAAAGCCUGACGGAGCAACGCCGCGUGAGUGAUGAAGGUCUUCGGAUCGUAAAACUCUGUUAUUAGGGAAGAACAAAUGUGUAAGUAACUAUGCACGUCUUGACGGUACCUAAUCAGAAAGCCACGGCUAACUACGUG
rnacentral:rRNA from 1 species